rnacentral:rRNA from 1 species
GUGGAUUAGCUACCCUAGUAGUCCACGCCCUAAACGGUGCACACUAGGUCUUGGCGGAUUCGACACCCCCAGGGCCCAAGCUAACGCGUUAAGUGUGCCGCCUGAGGACUACGGCCGCAAGGCUAAAACUCAAAGGAAUUGACGGGGGCCCGCACAAGCGGUGGAGUAUGUGGCUCAAUUCGAUGCAACGCGAAGAACCUUACCAGGCCUUGACAUGCAUUAGACCGGCGCUGAAAGGCGCCUUCCCUUCGGGGCUGGUGCACAGGUGCUGCAUGGCCGUCGUCAACU